rnacentral:rRNA from 1 species
UACAGAGGGGGCAAGCGUUGUUCGGAAUUACUGGGCGUAAAGGGCGCGUAGGCGGCCUUCUAAGUCGAACGUGAAAUCCCCGGGCUCAACCCGGGAACUGCGUCCGAUACUGGAAGGCUUGAAUCCGGGAGAGGGAUGCGGAAUUCCAGGUGUAGCGGUGAAAUGCGUAAAUAUCUGGAGGAACACCGGUGGCGAAGGCGGCAUCCUGGACCGGCAUUGACGCUGAGGCGCGAAAGCCAGGGGAGCAAACGGG